GGGAGUGUAGCUCACCUGGUUAGAGUGCCAGAUUGUGGUUCUGGAUGUAGUGGGUUCAAGUCCCAUCACUCCCC
rnacentral:tRNA from 1 species